UGUAUUCACUACUGUAAGUCGCUCUGGAUAAGAGCGUCUGCUAAAUUACUUUUU
rfam:Salmo salar isolate Sally breed double haploid chromosome ssa09, whole genome shotgun sequence.